rnacentral:rRNA from 1 species
GACGAACGCUGGCGGCGUGCCUAAUACAUGCAAGUCGAGCGCUGAAGGUUGGUGCUUGUUCCAACUGGAUGAGCAGCGAACGGGUGAGUAACGCGUGGGGAAUCUGCCUUUGAGCGGGGGACAACAUCGGGAAACGAAUGCUAAUACCGCAUAAAAACUUUAAACACAAGUUUUAAGAUUGAAAGAUGGUAUUGCUUCACUCAAAGAUGAUCUCGCGUUGUAUUAGCUAGUUGGUGAGGGAAAGGCUCACCAAGGGGAUGAUACAUAGCCGGCCUGGGAGGGUGGUUGGCCACCUUGGGACUGAGACACGGCCCAAGCUCCUUAGGGAGGCAGCAGUAGGGAAACUUCGGGAAUGGGGGGAAGUCUGGCCGGAGAACGCCGGGGUGGUGAAGAAGGUUUUCGGGUCCUAAAACUCUUUUGGUAGGGGAGAAAGUUAUUGGGAGUGGAAAGCUCAUCAAGUGACGGUAACUACCCAGAAAGCGACGGCUAACUACGUG